GCAGUCGAGGGGUAUAUCUCUUCGGAGAUAGAGACCGGCGCACGGGUGCGUAACGCGUAUGCAAUCUACCUUUUACAGAGGGAUAGCCCAGAGAAAUUUGGAUUAAUACCUCAUAGUAUAGCUCUGCCGCAUGGUAGUACUAUUAAAGUCACAACGGUAAAAGAUGAGCAUGCGUCCCAUUAGCUGGUUGGUAAGGUAACGGCUUACCAAGGCUACGAUGGGUAGGGGUCCUGAGAGGGAGAUCCCCCACACUGGUACUGAGACACGGACCAGACUCCUACGGGAGGCAGCAGUGAGGAAUAUUGGACAAUGGGCGCAAGCCUGAUCCAGCCAUGCCGCGUGCAGGAUGACGGUCCUAUGGAUUGUAAACUGCUUUUAUACGAGAAGAAACACUGCUUCGUGAAGCAGCUUGACGGUAUCGUAAGAAUAAGGAUCGGCUAACUCCGUGCCAGCAGCCGCGGUAAUACGGAGGAUCCAAGCGUUAUCCGGAAUCAUUGGGUUUAAAGGGUCCGUAGGCGGUUUAAUAAGUCAGUGGUGAAAGCCCAUCGCUCAACGGUGGAACGGCCAUUGAUACUGUUAAACUUGAAUUAUUAGGAAGUAACUAGAAUAUGUAGUGUAGCGGUGAAAUGCUUAGAGAUUACAUGGAAUACCAAUUGCGAAGGCAGGUUACUACUAAUGGAUUGACGCUGAUGGACGAAAGCGUGGGUAGCGAACAGGAUUAGAUACCCUGGUAGUC
rnacentral:rRNA from 1 species